UCUUUCUGAGGCUGGAGGCUGUCUAGGGUAGAGUCCCUCCUAAUUCGUUUGUAUGGGUCCGGGCUCCCCACUUCUCCCUUGUGGAGAAGUUGCGGCUAGGGGUACACAGUACCCCUUCUCAGUUGCAGCUAGGGAUACACAACAUUUUCCCACAGGAAGGCAGUCUUUUUUUUUUUUUUUUGGAAAAGCCCAGGACUCAGAACCUCUAGCCCUCUCUCCACUCUUUUUGGCAGUGAUAACAGAGCAGUCUCUGCCCUCGAGUAGAACACUGUUGAAAUCUUGACUCUCUCUUCAGUGGCUGAAUUACCUUUGAGGACAACCCCAGCCAAGGUGGGAAGGAGACGAGGACUCGACAGCCUGUGGUGAUUCUCUUGGGCUGGGGUGGCUGCAGGGACAAGAAUCUUGCCAAGUACAGCACCAUCUACCACAAAAGGAUCACUCAAAGAAAAGGCCCCUUUGAACUCUCCUUGGGAAUUCAUGAAAGAAACAACCUCGAAGUGUAAACACUCAGGGAAAACUGAUACCCGUCCAGGCCUUGAAAGCCCCUCAUACAGCUCCGCAAGUACAUCCCAGUGCGGGGAGAAAGACUGCCAAAUCUGCAGGGCCUGUGCACCUUCAACCCCUCAAGUCCUGCCUGGUCCCGAGAAGACAUCAGGUCCAGUUCUGUGGUGCUAACGCGGCUUGGCUGUCACCUUCAAUGCAUCACCCGAGGCUGAGAGCCCCCUCGUCACUCCUAGCUUGCAGCUUCACAAUUCCAUUUCCCCACCCAAACACAUCCAUUUAAUAUGCACCUCACAGGCAGGCAGCACAGUCACAAAGGAGCCCAACCAGCAGCAGUUCCCACGUGCUAACAAGGAUGACCAGCCACCAGCCCUGACCACCAGACUGCUACUGCCUGUAUGUUGGCUGCUUGUACCUCGGAAGCCACCUUCCAGGAGAGUGGUGGCCCGUAUCCGCUUCUGCCCACACCACUCAUACUCUUCAAAGCGAUUGCUGUUCUCAUGCUCGAUGUCCACAGCAUCAUCCUCAGCUAUGCAGGAGCCUUCCCUCUGGGAAGAGCAGAGCAGGAUUAUGUAGGGCCCAGGCCGCCAUCCCCACCUGCUCCCCAAGAGCCUGCAAGGAGGGAGGGCACAAGCUCUAGCCCCUGCUGUAAUGUGGUAGAUGGGGCCCUGGCUCUAGGGCUCCUCUGAGGUAAAAGAAAUCUAGAGGUCAAAGACCUAGGCCUCUUCCCAAUAAUUUUCCACUGGAGCCCAAGGGGGUGGGGGAGUGAGUGUUAAAGCAAAGGAAAAAAGCAAAGAACAGAGGGGAAGAAGCUGCUGAGACCAAGUGGAGACCCCAAGAACCCACAGAUUUGGGGACAAGUCAGCAGCUAGUCAGGGGAAGAGGGGGGGAAGGAAGACGGGUGGCAAUGGCCCCUCUACCUUAGAAAGGCAAUGCUCCACAUGCCUACUCAUCUCUUGUUCCGAUCCUGCCAGGGGGCGGUUGCACAGGGGACAUACCUGCCCUUCAUCUUGCUUCCUCCGUUUCAUUUUCCCAAUCCGAGCUGCAUGGAAAACCGAAAAUAAAGCAUAGAAUAAGCAGACAGGCA